rnacentral:rRNA from 1 species
UAUCCGUGGCUCAGUUCAGAUCGUAUGCUGCAACUCGCCUACGUGAAGGAGGAAUCGCUAGUAAUCGCAGGUCAGCAUACUGCGAGUGAAUACGUUCCCGGGCCUUGUACACACCGCCCGUCUCACCAUGGAAGUUGGCCACGCCCGAAGUCGUUACUCCUACCCUCUGGGAGGAGGACGCCGAAGGUGGGGCUGAUGACUGGGGUGAAGUCGUAACAAGGUAGCCGUACCGGAAGGUGCGGCUGGAUCACCUCCUAACA